CAGAUAUUUAGUGAAUUUCUGCUGUGAGCCAUGAUCUCUGCUAGCCCACUGGGAAGAGGAGUGCUGGUUCAUGACCCGUCAUCUGCAUGGUGGUGCAGGAAGCUCUUCUUUCUCUUCGUACAUGAGUACUGCAGGGAAAGACCAUUGGUGUCACUUAUGAAGACUUCCCACCGUCUCCAUCAGGCAUUGGAAGUCCCCUGCCCACCAACAGACCUGGUAAUAGACAGCAGUCUUCAGCCUGAGACCCAUCACUAGAAACAGAUAAUCGGUGUCGUGAAGAAAAGACAAAGGAUCUCUCAGCAAGGCAAUCUUUACUUUCUGCAGAAAGGGUGCCCCUCGCAGAUCGAACAAUCGUGACAGCACACUUGAACAAAGGAAAAGCAGACAUAUUUAUCAUUUACGUAUUUGGGUCAGCCUUACUGCUCUGUCCUGCAUCCAUUGGCUGGAGCUGGACCCCACAGUCUUCAACUGAUACCAAAUCUGCUAAUAACCUAAAACUUUCCUAAACAGGUAAGUGCAAGGGAGAACAAAGAAGAAAAAGAAGUUGCUUACUAAAGGUUUAAGGAAGCAAUUAACAUUUCAAAAAAGGAAGGGGCAUAAGCUAUGAGCUAAGACUUGCCUGGGCCUGUCCAGACAUGCCUGAGUAAGCCAAAGCAACUAACUGGGCUCAAGUGUAAGAACUAGUAGUUGAGAGGAGGCUUUAGAGUAAGGAGCUAUUAUUUAUAGUGUCUAUUAUUUUAUUUUUAAACCAAGAUGAAUUUUGAAGAAAAACUUUACUACUUUCUACAUCUUCUCUCCUAGGACCUUGUCUUUUUUUGAGCAAAAGUUUUUUUUUCUUCUCAGACGAUGACAUUCUGUUUUCUUCAUCUACUUCUGCUGUCUCUCCUUUAUUUUGCUACCCUCUGUUGCAUGAGGGACGUAAAAUAGUUUAUAAUUGCCUGCAUUCCUUAAAGAAAAUGGAGAAGAUGCCACACUCCCUUUUGGGGAGAAACCUCUAUUUUUCCCAAGAGUGUAAACACACAAGUUCAUCUCAGAUCUUAAGCUGCUUGCUUUUGUAUUGUGUUACUUGAUUUUUUGACUAAAACUGUUAUUAGUUUAUUCUUGGAUUUUUAAGGAAGAAAGUAGCUUGAACACUUAGAAAUGUCUUUGUUAAAAAAAAAAAAAAGGACACUGUAAAAGCAUCACUUGGUGUAGCCUCAUAGUAAUUCUCCCUUUUUGGAGAACUAGGAUUCAGUGUGGGCUCUGCCCAGAGCUCAGAGAUCCAGUUAAAAGACAGGUAGUCCCUAUCUAAAUACAACUGGUCUCCUUAUACAAUCCUAUAAUAUAUUUCUACAAUUUUGUGUUUGAUUUGGCAUCCAUCUUCAAUCUCCUUCUAACAUCACCAGACUCUUUCUCUCUGUGCUUUGAGAAGCAAAUUUCACUAUCUGAUUUUUUUUACCUAAGGGUUCCUUUAAUAUGCACAUUUAGGGCUAUCUAGCUGACAAUUGCCUAGGGCAAUAAAAUAGGUUAUGAAGAAAUUGUAAAUCUAAAAUACAAGGAAAAAAUAAAGGCCUUAGGAAUUUAUAAGAUCUACUUCUAUCUACAUGUCUAAUACAUCUAUGUAUUUAUGUGUCAUGGAUAUGACAUUUCACUACUAAAAAUGUAGAAAAGAGCUCUAAUUAAUUGGCUUAACAAAGGCACUUAAAUCUAAUGCUUUUCAGAAAAAUAGACUUUAAGCCAAAUGCUUUUUCAAGUUCAUGUGACUUAAGCAAAUCUUCAAUAAACAAGCUGGUUUUAAAAAUUUUAGUGAAAUUGAAUUAGAAAUGGCUUUGGAAUUCUCAACAUACAUUAUUUAUCUCUGCUAGAUGUCAACAUUUGGCAUAAGGGUUCUAAAGCUAUGAAUGCAGCUCAAAUAAGAAUUAUCUUUGUUUAUGUAAAAUUUAGUAAGUAAGGAAUUUAAUAUUGUUUGGUUAAUGAAAAUAGCUAAAUCCUGAGUUAUUGCCAAAAAAACAAAAACAAACAAACAAAUAAACAAAAAAAGACCCUUUAUCUAACCUUAAUGUUCUUACUCAGGACAACCUGAAAUUCACAGGUUAUAAAAAUGGUUAACAAGGACAUAACUUUAAAUGGUAACUAUUACAGUUUUCAUAAGUAAUCUGGGUAAACUAUUAGAAAAUUAAUUAAUUACACAAAUGUAACAGAAUAAGUUCUUGUAGAAUAUCUUGUCAUAUAAUUUAAAAUCCAAAGUUAUAUUAAGCUAAAUAGUAGAUAUUUAUUACACGUCUGGGUCAUUUCCAAUUUUUUUAAUUAUAGGAAAACAUUUUUCUGUAAAAAAGAAAUGUGAUCUUAAAGGAAAAUACUUUUUGUCUAAUUCGAAGCUUAUCUAAAAGUUAUUUAUGAAAUUAGGUAAUCAGUGAAUAAAAACAAUGUGAAGGAAGUUAUGAACAGGCAUUUUUGGCACAAAAAGUUAAAAGGAAAAUAAUUUUAUCUGAGCAAGAAUCUUGUAUGGUAAAUUUUUGUUCUAAAAUAAAAUAACUGGUUAUUUAAGAAAAAGGAAGCCUAGGCAUGGUGGCUCAUGCUUGUUAAUUCCAGCAUUUUGGGAGGCCGAGGUGGAUGGAUCACCUGAGGUCAGGAGGUCGAGACCAGCCUGGCCAACGUGGCAAAUCCCUGUCUCUACUAAAAAUACAAAAAUUAGCCAG
rnacentral:lncRNA from 10 species